rnacentral:lncRNA from 1 species
GAUACUUGUAACAUAUUGUAUUUGCUCAUUUUAAAAAGAUGACGUUUUGAUGACGUUGCAUGGCGACGUUUCAGUACAUUUUGCUUUUUCAGUAAACACUUCAUCUGUUGAUAAAUACUGUGAACGUUUUGUGCAUAUCUAAAUAGUUUUACCUAUGUUGAAAGAUGUGCUUAGUAUCAAAUCAUAAAAAUACAAAUUGUUUAGUCUCUAGGAAAU